AAAUUGAGGUAUGGGCAUUCUCUCUGUAGGUCCUUGAACCUAUUCCAUGCUUCCUUCAGCGUUUCAUCGGGUUCUUGUUGAAAGGUAGCAAGUUUAUAUCUUAUUUC